GUUGGGUGGGGUCAGGCCUGUUUGAGGCCAGAGCAGUAUCCCACAGGGUAGCCUCUCCCUGACCUUAGCCUGGGCUUUGGGGCAGCCGGCUCACAGGCCUACAGAAGUGGGGGAGGGAAGCCCGCGGAGGAGGCUUUUAUAGGGGCUGGGCUCGGCCCCUGCCCCCAACGCUGAGAGCACAUUCCCGACCCCACUUGGAGCCCCACGUGGCCCGCUCCCACGAGGCUGCCCCGGUGCUUUGUGGGAGUUGUAGUCCACUUCCCCAACCACUCCCCUGGGUAUUUCCCUGCGGAGACAAGCAGGCUAGGGGGAGGCCACGGGAUUGAGCUCAGGGCCUGGGCCUCUCUAGCGCCGCCCGGCGCGUCCCCAGCUGGGAAGCGUCCCCGCCUUGCGGCCCGCAGGACUACAUGUCCCAUGGGCCCCAGCGCGGCGCAGGGCCUGGUGGGGGUCGUAGGCCGCUCCAGCGGAGGGCGCGCUCCCGCAGCGGUGCCAGCCCCUCGGCCUGGACUCCAUUUCCCGGCAGGCUCGGGCGCGGGCCCGGGCCCCCUUGGCGGAGAGACAUUUGCGACUCGAGCCGAGAGUCUCCAAGAUGGCGGCGUGGGGAAGGAGGCGCGCUGGCCCCGGCAGCAGCGGCGGUGGCGGUAGGGAGAGCUUUGUUUCUGCCUCUGUCAGGAUGGAUGAGCAACUGGGACAUGGUGGAACUACGUGCGGAGUAGCUGUAGAAGUUUUGGAAGCCUAACUUUAAAGACAGGAAAGAGAGAAAUCUUUUUGCACUACCUUAAAAUCUUCCUGGACCUUUCCUGAGCUGAAAUGGACAAACUUGUCAAAUUGUAUGAUGGUUUUGUGAUGUGGAAUUUUUACACUGGGGAUUAAGCUGCUGGCUGGAGGAGGAUGCUGGGAGAGUUCUUCCAGGACAUUGUCCUGGAUCCCAAAUUCAGCAGAGCUGGCAAGAGAGCAAGAUGUGAAAGGCUCCUCCUGCUGUAUACCUGUGCUAUGUCCUGCCGAGUUUGGAAACUGGGGAUUAAAGUAGCGGAGUCAACAGGAGAGCGCUCGGCGGUCAAUUUUUCGCGUCUUCACUAGAUGCGAUAAAUCAACCCCCCACUGGAUCGAUCGCUCCAGAGGUGGCUGCUGCACAAUACCCUUCACAGUGUGACUAAAACAGAAUUUAAAGGGUAAUGGCUGGUACAACAGGAGCUUGCAAACAUGUAUCCUCUCUUCCUUUGCCAUUUCCAGUGCGAACCCACUAUAUCUUUGUACUAAUGGAGCGAGAAAGAAGGGUUAGUGUUGGUCUCGUUGCAGAGUUCUCCAUUGCCAGAUCACUAAUACCAAGAUCAUCUUGUCCUCCACGGAGUGUUACAUUGUGCAUGAAAUCUACAAUGGGGAGAAUGCUCAGGACCAGUUUGAGUACGAGCUGGAGCAGGCCCUGGAAGCACAGUACAAAUAUAUAGUGAUAGAGCCCAC